rnacentral:rRNA from 1 species
UACAGAGGUUGCAAGCGUUAAUCGGAUUUACUGGGCGUAAAGUGUGUGUAGGUGGUUGUACAAGUCGGUUGUGAAAUCCCUGGGCUCAACCUGGGAACUGCUUCCGAGACUGUACGACUCGAGAUCGGUAGAGGGCGGUGGAAUUUCCGGUGUAGCGGUGAAAUUCGUAGAUAUCGGGAGGAACACCGGUGGCGAAGGCGGCGACCUGGGUCGACACUGACGCUGAGGCGCGAAAGCGUGGGGAGCAAACAGG